rnacentral:rRNA from 1 species
UACGAAGGGGGCUAGCGUUGUUCGGAGUUACUGGGCGUAAAGGGCGCGUAGGCGGCGCACCAAGUCAGGCGUGAAAGCCCUGGGCUCAACCCGGGAAUUGCGCUUGAGACUGGUGUGCUUGAGUACGGGAGAGGAUAGUGGAAUUCCCAGUGUAGAGGUGAAAUUCGUAGAUAUUGGGAAGAACACCGGUGGCGAAGGCGGCAUUCUGGACUACAACUGACACUGAGGAACGAAAGCCAGGGGAGCAAACGGG